CGGCGUGCCAAGCUUGUACCUUUUCACUUUGCAGGUCUUCUCCAGGCCACCUCCAGAGUCGGAUGAUUUGAGGUACCAUGAGCCGGUGUGGAGCCAAGUUUGGAAACAGUGUAAGAGACAGUCCAAAGAUCCCUCAUCUGCCUCAGGAUCAUUGCCGAGGACAGAGACUGAGCACAGGAGUCCUGGCCUGGCUGAGGUGGGAAGGACUGCGCUGAAGGGGAAAGGAAUGAC